GGACCAUAGCUCAGUGGUAGAGAACUAACUACUUUGAAUGCAGAAAGUCCUAGAUUCAAUCCCUGGCAUCUCCA